AUUGAACGCUGGCGGCAUGCUUUACACAUGCAAGUCGAACGGUAACAGGCCGCAAGGUGCUGACGAGUGGCGAACGGGUGAGUAAUGCAUCAGAACGUGCCCAGUCGUGGGGGAUAACUACUCGAAAGAGUAGCUAAUACCGCAUACGAUCUAUGGAUGAAAGCGGGGGACCGUAAGGCCUCGCGCGAUUGGAGCGGCCGAUGUCAGAUUAGGUAGUUGGUGGGGUAAAGGCUCACCAAGCCAACGAUCUGUAGAUGGUCUGAGAGGACGACCAGCCACACUGGGACUGAGACACGGCCCAGACUCCUACGGGAGGCAGCAGUGGGGAAUUUUGGACAAUGGGCGCAAGCCUGAUCCAGCAAUGCCGCGUGCAGGAAGAAGGCCUUCGGGUUGUAAACUGCUUUUGUACGGAACGAAACGGCUCUGGUUAAUACCCGGGGCUAAUGACGGUACCGUAAGAAUAAGCACCGGCUAACUACGUG
rnacentral:rRNA from 1 species